AGUCUGAUCCAGGACUCUUCUCCACCUUCCUUCAAAAAAGGACUCUUCUUCAAUUCGUCCUUCGGUCUCGAGGAAUCCUCUUCGGCGAUGGCAACUCCUCCGCCCUCCUCCUAUAAGAACCUCCUCCUCGCGCGAGCCACCUGAUUUGCUGAGAUCGUGGUAACACGCAAGUGCGGCGCGGAGCUCGCUCAAGGUCGAUGCGCCCCGUGGUGGUGGCGUUCGAGGCGGGUCGGCCCGAGCUGGGUCGAUCCAACCGCCGUCGCCAGCCAUGUGUUCUUGAUCCCGUGGACGACCUCACCGACAACAAGCAGGAUAGCUACGAUGAAUUGUGGACGGGCCCAGCAGCGUCCUAUGUGCGGGCGCCGGCGACGUUCUUCGCCUUGUGGACGUGCUCCACGUCGAUCCCGGCGAGGACGUCUACAUCUCCGUCCCCAGGGCUUCUAUCGACACCACGAGGUCACCGACGUCACCGCUGGAUGCGCCACAUCUUGCCCUCCCCUACUGCUAGCCAAUGGGCUGCUGCUCUCCUAGACGAGCUACGGUGGCCGCCCACAGGGUGUUUGACGGAAUUCCCAUCAAGGAUGGCAUCACUUGGGCGACCAUAGACUUUGAUGGAGGUUUCCACGACGAAGCACUCCGCAACUCUGCAACCAAAAAAGCUCUCUGAACUUGCCGCUGAUUCAUCUAACUGCUCCUGCUGCUCUUGGCUGCCUUCGGAUGAAGGUACUGCUUCGGUGCUAGAUUGGAUGGAUAAGCAAGAAAGCAAACCGAAUGGGAAAAGAUUGGAAGCAUAUGCAUUGGUUUGGAAACUAAAAAAAGGAGAAGAUAAGAGUAUGUGGUGGACAAAGGUCACCCGUUUAUCAACAACUAGGUGCCGGCUUCGUUUUUUAAAGCAAGACUUCCAAAAUAUUAUUUUGUGAAUGUAUAAAUUUGUAUCUAAUAAAAUUGAGCAGGUUGACUUUUACACUGAUUGUGUAAUAUUGACAUAUUCUUAUCAGUUUUUUUCAAGCUUUUCUAUUGUUACUACUA